rnacentral:rRNA from 1 species
CCUACAUGAAGCUGGAAUUGCUAGUAAUCACAGGUCAGCAUACUGUGGUGAAUACGUUCCCGGGCCUUGUACACACCGCCCGUCACACCAUGAGAGUUGAGAAUACCCGAAGCCCAUGUCAAAGUGGUCGAAGGUAGGCUUGAUGAUUGGGGUGAAGUCGUAACAAGGUACC